rnacentral:rRNA from 1 species
CCCUUAGAUGUUCUGGGCCGCACGCGUGCUACACUGAGUAAUUCAAUGGGUAAGGGAACGCUAGAGCAUUACCUAAUCUUGGAAUUUGCUCGUGAUGGGGAUCGACGGUUGCAAUUUUCCGUCGUGAACGAGGAAUACCUUGUAGGCGCAUGUCAUCAUCAUGCGCCGAAUACGUCCCUGCCCUUUGUACACACCGCCCGUCGCUCCUACCGAUUGAGUGAUCCGGUGAGGCUCUGGGACCUGGACGGAAAGAGCGUUUCGCUUGUUCUGUUUGGGAAACUUGGUCGAACCUUAUCAUUUAGAGGAAGGAGAAGUCGUAACA